ACUAUCUGUCAUCCUCAUUCUAGCUUAAAAUGCUUCUGUGGCCUCCCGUGGACCUGAGGAUGAGGACUAACUCUGCUCUGCAUGCAGGCCCUCCUGAGUCAGGCCUUCUUCUCCAGGCUGGUCGCCCACAGUCAUUCUGCCCUCCAGCCAUCCCAAGCCAGAAGGCCUCCUUCUCAGAACUACUGAUUUCACACUUCCCUGUGUUGUACUUUCCCCACCACCCCGACUAGGCAUGCUGCUCCCUCUAUCCUUGCAAACAGAACAUGGCUGUGCAGUCGGCGAGGACAUCCUUCCAGGCUUCCUGACCACAGGCAGGCACCAUGCCACGAGGAGCCACAGACCAAGAGGCUGCCUGGGGCAGGGAAGCCGGUGUGCACCCCUCCCUGGCUAGUCAGCUUAGGCAGCAGUGCCAUGACAUGGCAGGAAGACUGGCCUAGAGGGAGAAGACCCUGGAAGAAGCCUGUCUCUGUCACUUCUUAGAAACGCCCACUGUUGCUUAGCCUCUGCAGAUGGGAAAUGGAUGCGAAAUGGCCUUACUUCUCAUGAGAUGACACUGGCACCACUGUGAGCCUGAGUGCCUCCUUAACUUUUGUGCCUGAGGUGCCUCUCUAGUCUCACCCUGGUCCUGGCGCUGCUGGGGAUAAGUAGAGGGAGUGGAGUCUUGGAUGAACUAGAGGCAUGUUGCACACAGCCGGAGAGGGAGAAACCGAGGAGAGAAAAGAGAAGAGAAAGUGAGUGGGAUGGAACAGCCUGCAGGAGUCUGGAUGGAAGGGGUCUUUGGUUUAGGUUGGUCUGCUUUUGAGGCAAAGACACACAUUCCCAGAGAUUUGAAGGAAGCCUGCAUAAAACAGAGACAAAACCACACUGCGCUCUCCUGAGGUAGAGAGGGGGAAACUGGAAGCUCAUGCAGGCAUUCACUCACUCAUCGAACACCUGGUUCCCAUCUUGUGCGCACUAAUGCAUCCAACAAACACUAAAGAGCAUCGAGCAUGUGUAAGCCUCAUGGGGUUAAGAACUCAAGCUGAUGGUCCCAGUAAUCAUGAUACUCCUGAGAGGUUCAGUCACAAUAUGAAUCUGUGCCCCAUAUGGGAAAGAAUUCCAGAAUAAGUACAACCUGGGUUAUUCUUCCAAAGAACCUGAGAGAAGGGCCCCUCUGAGCAAAGGCACAGCAAGUGAUGAAUGCUGAAGGAGCAGACGUGCUGUCGGCUGCAGGUCCUGCCAACUGUAGCCUGUUCAGCAGUGCAGAGGGAGAUGUGAACAGGUGGCCGGACGCAAAAGAUCCCAGUACUGGAGGGAAAAGCCUGGGUCCUUCUCAUCUUGUACACUCUGUCAGUAGUCACUGUUAUCACGGUCGAUAUGAAGUUGACGGACACAGAGCUAUUUGGUGGAUGGAUGCUUAUUUAAAUAAAGCCUUACUUCUUAGCCAAAUCUAAAAGAACAAACCUGGAAUUGAAAGAAAUCCCAAUGUGUUCAACCUUCCAGGUUUAGAGAAGGGCCACGUUUCAAUGUUAUUGCUUGUAUCUAGAUUGUGUAUUCACAUACAAAACAAGGACAGGUGUCUAAUCAUAUCUUACACUGAAGUUGUCCAGUGAAUGGGUCAGAUCACUGUCUAAGCAAGCGCAAGACCUCAAAUACCUGAGAGCGCCACCAGACGGCAGCCACAAGGCUCCCUCCCAGAUGGAGGCUUCUUUCCUGCUCUCUCCCUUAAGGAGCAGCUCCAGGUUGCCUCUCCACUCUCCCCAGCUAGAGUUCUUUUCUCUCUCUUUACCCUGUAGGUAAUGUGACCCCAUAGAACCCAGGUCCUUAAGAGGAGGCACAGACAAGUCACUGUGGCUGAAUAAGUGUUUGCAUUUAGCUUUGACUUGAAGCGAGAAGCAAUGUUUCACAGGGCAGAGCCUUGAGACUGAGGAGGCUACUGGCGGGGAGUCCCGUGGCUAGUGUGGCCAGUGCCUGUGGCAGGCCAAGAGGGCCAUGGAAAAGGGGAAGUAGGGAAGCAGCUCUCUGGUCUCCCCAGGAACCUCUCCUCAGUGUCUGCAGGGUCUGUCUCUGGAGAACGGUGGAAGUCCCCAUUCUUUCUUGGAGAUGGCCGCAGCCCACCAGUGUCCUGCAGAGCAGAAGCAGGUUCCUGCUGUGACAACUGAGGACUGGAAAUGGGGCUUUGGGACUCCAUGGGCUGACAUCAGGGAAACCAGUGAAUCUGGGCUAAAGGGCAGGGCCUCCUUUGAAAUCUCUACUUUAUGUUAUUUUUUGAGAUUUUAUUUUUCUUCAAUUUUCUUAGUAAUUGGUCAUUUGGAAAAAUCCCGGCUCAUUCUUUUCUAAACAAAGGGAAAAGGAUGUUUUCAGCCGUGCAAAUAGAGCUGGGUGGAGAGAAGAGGUGUUCUAGGCAGAGAGAAAAGUGCCUGAGAGGCCAGGCCAAUAGUGUGUGUGUGUGUGUGUGUGUGUGUGUGUGUGUGUGUGCGUGUCUGUGUGUAGGAUACGACUUCUCACCUAUCUGUCUUGAAGGACCUGUUUUUCUUUUUAAUUUCCAAUUCAUUGCAGGCCUAUACUUUUGUAGAGACAAUAGAAUAAAACUACUAGAAAAAUGAAAUUAAGAAGACAUAUAAAAUACAAGCCUUGAUUUUUAUGAUUGUAUUAAACAAACAUAAAAUUACUUUGUCAGAUU
rnacentral:lncRNA from 1 species